GACGAACGCUGGCGGCGUGGAUUAGGCAUGCAAGGUCGAACGGUAUCAUCCGUUCGGGGGUGAGAGAGUGGCGAACUGGUGAGUAACACGUAGGUUAUCUACCCUCAAGACGGGGACAACCCAGGGAAACUUGGGCUAAUACCGGAUGUGAGCAACUUUUAGUUGUUUGAAAGGUGGCGUAAGCUGUCGCUUGGGGAUGAGCCUGCGUCCUAUUAGUUAGUUGGUGAGGUAACGGCUCACCUAGGCAAUGAUAGGUAGGCGGCCUUAACGGGUGGUCGCCCACACUGGGAUUGAGAUACGGCCCAGACUCCUACGGGAGGCAGCAGUAGGGAAUCUUCGGCAAUGGACGGAAGUCUGACCGAGCGAUGCCGCGUGAGCGAAGAAGGUCUUCGGAUUGUAAAGCUCUGUGAUUAGGGAAGAAGGCUAUUAGGAGGGAAUGCCUAAUAGGUGACGGUACCUAAUUAGAAAGCCACGGCUAACUACGUG
rnacentral:rRNA from 1 species